AGCUAGGUCAUAUUUUAUUCUUGAAUUUAGCCAACUGGUUAAAACGGUACACAGAGCUAACACAAGAAUCCCUGUAAAUAUGAUCAGCUGUGAAAGAUGCACACAUUAUGUAUUGGAUUUGUAAUGGUAUUUUAUAUAAUGUUCCGAUUUUAACACUGAAACGAGCUCCCCUUCCAGCUGUUCUGAUCAAAUGAGAGCCGAUAGCGCCCUCUUGUGGGAGUCUUUUUUUUUUUUUUUUACAGAGCUGGAAUUUUGAGUCUUAUCUUUUGAUCGCUUUCUACCGAACGUUAUGUUAGACACCAGGAUUCCCAGCCAUUUCCAGGAGCAGAGGACACAGUUGGAGUCGGGGCAGAGGGUAGGAGACACUUCUUUACACAGAGAGUGGUCCUUGAAUUUAUACAGAUGUUCUGCUUUGAGUCUGACGUCAAUCCCGAAUCAGUCAUUCAGCCUUAUGCUGUCCAUGUUCGUUUAGUCAGGCUAUGCUUUCAGAUCACCUGGAGAGAGAAACUGUCUCCCUUCAAGGCCGCCUUUCCCAUCAGUGUCCAAUCAGCUGCUUCCUCUAAUGACUGACGAGAUUGCAGCAAAGGCACUGCAGAGGAAGUGUUACAGAUUUCCUGAGGGAAGGCAAACAAACCGAGAACUUUCAAGCCGGCCCGAGUUUGUAUUUAAGAUGGUUCAUCUAGUUUUUGAAAUUUGUAGUGUAUGUUUGUACAGUAACUAGUUUAGGUGUGGACUUUAUUUUGAAUGAACCACUUGUGUAGUACGUAGAACUACCUGUUUUAAAGUAUUUAGAAAUAUUAAUAGAAACAAUAAAUUAAAAGACAAUAUUCAGUCUUCAGGUUUAACUAUUCAGUGAAUACAGCUGUUUGAGUAUUGUGUAUUUACAGUGGUAGACAAAAGUAUUGGCCCAUACACUUAAUACAAGAUCACUCAUGUUAGAGAAUACAUGUUAAACACAAGCCUUUAGUGAACAGCCACUAAAUUAAUAUGACAAAGACCAAAAUACACAAUGUCUGAUUGCUUAUAAAAAAC